rnacentral:rRNA from 1 species
UGGGGAAUCUUCCGCAAUGGACGAAAGUCUGACGGAGCAACGCCGCGUGAGUGAAGAAGGUUUUCGGAUCGUAAAAACUCUGUCUUUUUGGGGCGAACGUGAGUAUGGUGAACAAUCAUAGUCAGUGACGGUACCAAAGGGAGGAAGCCACGGCUAACUACGUGCCAGCAGGCCGCGGUAAUCGUAGGUGGCAAGCGUUGUCCGGAAUUAUUGGGCGUAAAGAGCGCGUAGGCGGGAUAGUCAGUCUGUUGUAAAGUGCGGGGCUCAACCCGUGAUGGCAAUGGAACAGCUAUUCUUGAGUGCAGGAGAGGAAAGUGGAAUUCCCAGUGUAGCGGUGAAAUGCGUAGAUAUUGGGAGGAACACCAGUGGCGAAGGCGACUUUCUGGACUGUGUCUGACGCUGAGGCGCGAAAGCCAGGGGGAGCGAACGGGAUUUAGAGUACCCCCGGUAGUCCUGGCCGU